GGCUCCAGGGGUGUGUGGUGGACGGUGUGGGGGCUUCAUGAAACAUCGGGCAGAAUGAGACAGAUAUUGACAGACGCCUUGUCGAUAUGCAUUCCAUUUAUGGAGGCCUUUGAGUCAGGUUAUUACGGAAGCUACUAAGAAGUUACCCACUGCGUCAUUUUCUGCAUAUUACAAAGGUGGAUUUGAGCAGAAGAUGACCAGACGGGAAGCCAGCUUUAUUCUUGGGAUCAGUGCAGUUCCGACCAGCACUAAGGCAAAGGUACUGGAAGGCCACAGAAGGAUCAUGGUACUAAAUCAUCCAGAUAAAGGU